CAGAGCAAAAUCUGUUUCUCUGUCUGUUGUGUGCUAUUCAGUUUCCAUCUGCAGCAGGGAACUGUUUGCUUGCUGAUGUUUAUUAGCAAAGGGGUUAAUUUCCAACCUGUUUUGGCCAGUGCCCCUCAAAAGAUGGUCUGAGAAGGUGGAUGGGGCAGGGCUUCAGAUGAUGUGGCUCCUGUAACAGCACUAAAACCCCAGCUGACUGCUCUUCAUCCAUCUUGCUUUUGGGAGAGGCACUGAGCAGGUGGCAAAAGCAGAAGAAAGUGAUAACCAAAUAGCCUGGCAACAGCCUCUGCACACAGUUUCUGUCUCUGUGGAGGAGGUGCUACUCAGUUUACUGUGCCAUUAAAAUUCAGAACAGUUCCCCGUUGUGGCCACAGUUUACGACAGCAAAGCUGUGUUACAGUUUGGACCCACCUCAGCAAACCUCGCUCUAGAUGCAGCACUGAACUUCUGCCAUUGGCAUCUGAGCAGCAUCUGGCUGUGCCAGGAGGGAUCCACUGUAACUGCACACACCAGGUCUUGGCUCCUCCUCUGCUGCGCCGCUGCCUGCAGUCAGUUCUGCAUCGGUGCCCGGCGCCUUUCACAGGAGGAGAUGGGGCACUGCUGCCAUCAUCUCAGCCCGGCUCUGCUGUCCUGCUGCCUUGCAGAGCAGGGUGGAUAGUAAACCUGGAUAAAAGCU